UGAAGAAAGAGGGUAGGUGACAGCUAUUUUAUGUCACUUGGUGCAGUUUCUAGGUGAGCAGAAGCUUGUCUCUAAGGCUCUCGCUUCCCCAGCACCUAUCUGAGAUUAAAAUGCAAGAAAUACUUGCAAUCAAACCAGUUUAAUUCAUGUAUAUUUGUACAACUUGUAUAUAAAAAAAAAUAGGUACUUGCAGACAUUAACAUAAAGACCAAACAAAUAUUUUCUAUUUAUUUAAAAAGCUUUAAACAUACAGAAGCAAACCCCUAAUUAUAAAUGCAUCAUUAUGCAUAGAUUUUGCUGUUUACACCAUACUGCUGGCUGCUUUUUUAUUUUGAAUUAUUAGUUUUCCAUCCAGGAAUCUCUUUAAACUCCAAGAAUCCUUUAAGCAUUCCUCUCAGCUUCCUGGCCUCAGAACUGCUGUCUAUCUUACCAAGUCAUUGACCUCCAGCUGAAAAAAACCCAGUGCUCUAAAAAAAGAAAGAAGUCAGAUCUUUACUAAACAAUUAAAAGUGCAUUAAACUGUAGAAUUGUUGGAUUUUGUCAAUGUUUGAACCAGUCAGUGAAAAACACCACCCUGUGAAGUAGCUUUUUGCGUUACUGAUUGUAAAGUAGCUCUUUCCUGAUGACGGUUUGGAUGCGGCAGACUUCAGUCUCUAUUUGGUUCGUGCCGGCGCUGAGCGGCACGAGGUGUAGUGUUCUGCAUCCCCACUGCGGUAGGUGAAGACUCUUUCACCCUAUCAGUGCUCUGUUGCCUACCCCUGUUCCUUCUUGCCACGAAAGGAUCUGGCUCAGUGAACUCCUCUAGCAGGUCUUUCUAGCUCACCUUGUAUUUUGCAGGAGACCAAUUCCUAUUUCAUGCUAAACAAAGUCAAAGGAAGGUCACUUCCCAGCAGCUCCAAACUAGGCUUGGCCUUUUGUUGCUGCUCUUGAUGAUUUUCUUUCCUCUCUCUGUACACAGGUUUAGAUAAAAAAGUGAUGGCUAUUCUGUUCAAGUGUCCUUGCUAAGAGAAUACUGCCUCUUACAACAUCUCUAUCCAACUGUAGCUAUUACUUCGAUGGUCUCUAGCCAAACAACAGUAAUCAAUGAAUGGUUUCAUAAACAACAGGCGAUUAAAGUAAAGGAUUUAUUAUAAUCUGCUUACAGUUGUUUGCAAAGACAGACAUAACCUUUUUGCAUAAAGAUAUAAAUUGCUUUUUAAAACUAAUUUAGUGUGUUUAAUUAUAUGAAGUUUCUGUGAAUUAUGAAUUGUACCAAACCAAGAUUAAAAGUAAGAAGGUACAAAAAUAGGAGCAAAACAGACAACAAUUUGGACUGGGACAGGCAUUUAACAGUGAAGUGUAGGAUAUGGCUUCGCUAUUUUAAAUCAAGCAAAGUUACUCUGAGACAGAAAAAAGGAGGCAGUAACUUUGUUAAUAUAAAAAGCUGCUGCAGACUGUUUGCACCCAGAACCUGGCUUUGACAUUUUUCUAGUUUAGACUUUUUUAAGAAAAAAGGAAAAGGACAAAGCAAAGCAAAGAUGGCUGCAUGAGUUGUGUCUUUACUGUAAACAACCAGUCUGCAUGCUGUGUAUCUCACGUUGGAAGUUUGGCUGUCAUAUUGCUGUGCAGGUCAGUAUUGAAAGAUCUGCCUAUGAAUUAGACUUCCAAAAUGCAAAUAAUAAUAUAUGUAUGUAUAUAUUUAUAUAUAACCCCCCCUCUGAAUACAGGCUUUACAGAUUACCCAUUGCAUAAGGCAGGUGUAGCACUGGCUGGCCAAGUGCACCUGGGACUCGGGCAAGGUGUAGAAUUCUCAGUCCACCACCACGAAGGAAAUGCUACAUUCCGACCGGCCGAGGGACGAGCUACAGCUCCAAAAGGACAGUGGCACCCGGAGCAAAGGCUGGAGAUGAGGGCUCUGCAAAGCCAGGCUGGCUGAACGGGAGCGUGGAGCAACGGCAGAGCUUCGCGUGACCAGAAAUGGCUCUCCCCCACCUGAAAUCACCCAUCUGACCUUCUUAAGAUGUUUUGUGUAUCCAGUAUUCAAAGGAAAGAAACCCACAACCCCCCCAAAAACUCCAACAACCUCACAGACAACCAACCUGGGAAACGUUAAUUAAAACCCAAAAGAAAGCAAGAGAAGAAAAAUGAUUCACCGUCCUCGGCACCCCUGACUCCCUGCGAGAGAACAAAGGGCCAGGGCAAGCGCGACCCUGGAGCUGGCGCAAGCUUUGGAGAGAGCAGGAUUUGUCUCGCUAGGCGAAGCCUCGGCAAAGCGGCGAACGCCACAGAGCGUCGAUGAAGCAGGGCUCUCGGCUGUGCCCGAGUCACGUACACGCUUGCGAGCCAGACAGAAAGAGGGAGGGAAAGAGAAAGGCUUAAAUCCGACUGAAAAGGUUACCUGUGGUUAUUUACAACAGAUACUGCGGGAUGGUAAAUUAGAUAUGAUGCUAAAAAAGGCACAGCUUUCCCUUUCUUAAAUACACUGUAAACGGUUCAUUAUGCAUGCAGAACAUUUCACUUUACAAAAAAAUUACCUUGUUUGUUUAGACAAAGAUAGUACUUAAAUAGUCUCCAGCAAAAUAGAGUUCUUCCAAAAAUACUUUCCCAUUCAUCCUAUUAACCAUUAAAGAUUUUGUGUGUGUGUGUGUGUGUGUGUCUCAUUUACAAAAGUUCCUUACACCAUAUUUCAGGUCCUUCACAAUUUAUACAUACAGCAAUGUACAGUACAGCAAAAGACUGCAAAAAAUUAUUGGUAAAGCCAGCACAAUAGGUAACUCUAACUGGAACCCAGGGCAUUUGUUUGCACAUCUCAUCCUUUGGGCUUAAAUAUGGACACUUGGACACAGUGCACAGCAUCUAGGAGAGGGGAUGACAGGGGCUAACAAAUGCCACAGGGGGGGAGAUAACAGAGUAUUCCACACCAAAUGUCCUGUUAUUACUUUACACGUUAGGGUGUGUGUGUGUGUCUAGUCAUGUGUGUGCCUAUGUAUAGCUAUAGGUUUUGUUUGUUUUUGUUGUUUUGUACAAGAAAAGAAUAUUAAUGCCCCAUAUUGACUUGACGUUUUCUUAUGUGCAAACCAAGGGUAAGCUUUACAAAGUUCUCGUUAGUUGUGGAACCCUUUUUAAAACAAGCAAACGAUACCAGAAACUACAUGGCAUAGUUAAAACUCCCCUCUGUUAAAAUAUCAAAAUCAAAGAGUUAUUGACUAGAUAUGGCUUUUCAUCCAGAGGAACAGGAACAGCUGCUAAGUGGUUUAGGGUUACAGGGUCAUUGCCAACCACCUAGGUCUCGCCAAAGCCCAGCCAACUGCUCUCCGUGCCCCAAACCCUUCGGAUGAUUUUAGACUACUCAGAGGCUGCUGACCGAGUGUAAAGAGCAUGUUUAAAAUGUGGGUUCUCUUGGGUCCUUCAUGGGUGUGGAAUAACACAGGGAAACUUAAGGCAAAGUUCUUCCGUUUAAGACGUUUUCUAUCACUUCCUGUGGAAGUACAGGGGCUUGGCAUUCCCAGAUUCCACCUUUGGUAGCUGGUCACUGAUGAUUUCCACCAGCAUGGCAGGAAACUCUACUUUCAGUGCCUGAGACUCUCGGAAGGUGUAGAAACAGAAUUCCAAUAAGUCGCUAACGAGCUGCAAUACAGAAAGAGAGACUUUUUAGGACAGGCACAGAGAACUCCCCCAAGCAAGCAACAAUGGGUGCAUACAACAGUGCAGGUUGGAAGGGAUCUCAAGCAUCAUCCAGGUCCAACUCCCUGCCAUAGGCAGCAACACCUCCACUGGAACAAGUUGCUCAAGGCCUCAUCCAGCCUGGCCUUGAACACCUCCAGGGAGGUUGUGGAGCACCGAAGCACCAAAUGUGACUGCAAAUCAUGUUCGGUGCCUCUGCUCCACAACCUCCCUGGGCAGCCUGUGCCAGUGUCUCACCACCCUCACUGCAAAGAACCCUUUCCUAACAUCUAGCUUCAAUCUCCCCUUUGCCAGUUUAAACCCAUUACCCCUCAUCCUGUCAUUCCAAGACCUUGUCAAUAGUCCCUCCCCAGCCUUCCUGUAGCCCCCUUCAGAUCCUGGAAGGCCACUCCAAGGUCUCCUGGAAGCCUUCUCUUCUCCAGGCUGCAGAGCCCCAACUCUUGUAGCCUGUUCUCAAUAGCAGAGCUGCUGCAGCCUUCUGGGCAGCUUCAUGGCCUCCUCUGGACUGGCUCCAACAGUUCCAUGUCCUUCUUGUGCUGGGGGCAGAAUUCCCUCCCUUGCCCUGCUGCUCUUGCUGCAGCCUAGGACAUGGUUGGCUGUGGGUUAUUACCAAGAGUUGGCAUCUUGCUCUGGCAGUCCAGCUGCAGGGCUGGAAGAGCAAACAACGCCAAUCCCAACUCAAUGACUCCACCCAGUGUAAAACAGCUCACUAGGAAAACCUGAGCCACAGGUCUGCCUCUUCAGUAUCAAAGUGCACUUCCUACCUGACAGGCAACUGGCCACCACAGACAGAGUGCAGGUGUUCAGCAUCUAGGAAGAGAAAGCCUUCUGCCCAGAGGGAGAAGAUCAGCCACACACUGUUCUAGGUCUGGCUUCCAGCUGCAUACAUGGGUGUGACAUACUUGUGUUUUACUAUGCACACCUCAAGGUCUUGUUCUGCUAGUCAGUCACACAUAGGGAAGUGCUUAGUUUUGGGAAGCAAUCCCAAGUUUUCUGGUGUUGCAGUGGUGGCUGAAAGCACACUGUUUGCCUUCUCCCAGAGGACUAAGUGUAAUGCUGAGAACUUUAAAGCUAACAGUUUCUAAUUAGCUCUUCAGAAUGAAGCUUUGUCCUGUAACACCACAAGUACCGAGUUGGACAGCGUGGGGACCACCUGCAGCAGCAGAACUAACUGCACUGUGGCACUGUCACCUCAGGGAAGCCCGAGCAGAGCUUGGCAGAGGACAGACCACACCACAGAUCUUCCAAAUGGCACCCAACAGCUCUCUUGGGCUCCAGCUGUAAUGGGAACUAAAAGCAGGAACUGGCAAAUUGGUACCAUGAGCUCUGGUGCACAGGAACACCAACUGCCUCCCUUCAAAGCACCAAUAAACUCAGUCUCUCUCUUCUA